rnacentral:lncRNA from 1 species
CUGAUAUGCAUAAAACCAUUAUAUUUCAUGACACUGCAUGAAAAAGAAAUUGACUUAUCGCAUAAUACCAGAACCAGAGACAUAUAUAUUGUAUCUAAUAUCUCUGCCAGAACUAAAAAAUAAACUACAGUAAGUCCACAUACACAUAAGAGGGUAUGGAUGUGAAUUAACAGAAUAGAGAACAAAGGACAAAGAAAAAAAGGAAUAAAGAAUAGUGAAAGAAAGAGAAUAAUGGAAAAAAAGUGUAAGUUAUUAAAAAUAUAACUAAAAAAAGAAGACAGAAAAAAAGACACCCCUCCGAGACGAGCCUUACAUGCACUGUUAUUACCCAAGGUUAAUUUUACGGCGGCUCAUUUUAUUUUGGCUUAGGCUUAGAAAUAAACAUAAUUGACAAGUUUCCUUCCCCUGCAUUCUCGAUCCCACAUGUAAAUAGCACGGUGAUUUCAAAAAGACAUUGAUACAUCAUUACAACACUUGCCGUCAGUAUUUGAAUAUAUUGAUUAAGAAGGUAUAGAAGAUUAAUGCACGCAC